rnacentral:rRNA from 1 species
CKGGSGCGAKACUAUACAUGCAGUCGAGCGGACAGAUGGGAGCUUGCUCCCUGAUGUUAGCGGCGGACGGGUGAGUAACACGUGGGUAACCUGCCUGUAAGACUGGGAUAACUCCGGGAAACCGGGGCUAAUACCGGAUGGUUGUCUGAACCGCAUGGUUCAGACAUAAAAGGUGGCUUCGGCUACCACUUACAGAUGGACCCGCGGCGCAUUAGCUAGUUGGUGAGGUAACGGCUCACCAAGGCGACGAUGCGUAGCCGACCUGAGAGGGUGAUCGGCCACACUGGGACUGAGACACGGCCCAGACUCCUACGGGAGGCAGCAGUAGGGAAUCUUCCGCAAUGGACGAAAGUCUGACGGAGCAACGCCGCGUGAGUGAUGAAGGUUUUCGGAUCGUAAAGCUCUGUUGUUAGGGAAGAACAAGUGCCGUUCAAAUAGGGCGGCACCUUGACGGUACCUAACCAGAAAGCCACGGCUAACUACGUGCCAGCAGCCGCGGUAAUACGUAGGUGGCAAGCGUUGUCCGGAAUUAUUGGGCGUAAAGGGCUCGCAGGCGGUUUCUUAAGUCUGAUGUGAAAGCCCCCGGCUCARCCGGSGAGGGUCAUUGGAAACUGGGGAACUUGAGUGCAGAAGAGGAGAGUGGAAUUCCACGUGUAGCGGUGAAAUGCGUAGAGAUGUGGAGGAACACCAGUGGCGAASGCGACUCUCUGSUCUGUAACUGACGCUSAGGAGCGAAAGCGUGSGGAGCGAACAGGAUUASAUACCCUGGUASUCCACGCCGUAACGAUGAGUGCUAAGUGYUAGGGGGUUUCCGCYCCCUUAGUGCUGCWGCUAACGCAUUAAGCACUCCGGCCYGGSSAGKAYGGKCGCRAGACUGWWACUCAAAGGAAUUGACGGSGGCCCGSACAGCKKUGGAGCAUGWRGUUUAAUWCRAAGCAKCGCGMUMAACAUUAYCASGKSUGWCRUCUCUGAYAAUCCUAGAGAUUAKUACGUMCCAUCGCGRGCRGACUGACCUGMUGUUGCAUGGCAUGUCCGUCAUGCUCGAGUCAGUGAAGAUGUUWGUGAUUCAGUUACACGCUACGUACSKCAKSCAUGACUGUACUGGCAGCAUUCAGUCUGUGCCMGUSUGAAGUGUGAAUUUUC